rnacentral:rRNA from 1 species
CAUCCGGUGAAUGGCUCGGCUCAAGUGCCGAUGAAGAACGUGCCAAGCUGCGAUAAGCCUCGGGUAGGCGCAUGGAGCCUUUGAACCGAGGAUGUUCUAAUGGGAAUCCCGACUCCUUCGGGAGUCGAUCCACGAGAUUGGGAACGCCCCGGAUUGAAACAUCUUAGUAGGGGCAGGAAGAGAAAUCGAAGAGAUGCCGUUAGUAAAGGCGAUCGAAAGCGGCAAAGUUCAAACUGAAUCCCUUUGCGAAGAGUAAAGGGAGAUGUGGGGUUGUAAGCCAAGCCAUAUGCAGUCCAAACUGGUUAAAUCGAGGUCCUCUGGAAAGGGGCGCCAAAGAGUGUGAUAGCCACGUAGAUGUAAGCCAGUGGAUUGUGGCUUGGUCUUGAGUACCGUUGCUUGGAUAUGCAGCGGGAAUUUGGGAGGCACCAACUUCCAAAACUAAACACAUCUUGAGACCGAUAGCGCAAUAGUACCGUGAGGGAAAGCUGAAAAGCACCCCAAAAAGGGAGGUGCAAAGAGCCUGAAAUCGGAUGGUGAUGGAGCGAUAUGGCAUGAAAGGAUCUUCGCCGUGAAGGAAUCUGUCGCGAGGCAGUAGUACGGGCGGCGUUGCCGAUGUCGUAUCAUACGUUUUGAAGAACGGGCCAGGGAAUGUAUCCAAGUGGCGAGACUAAGCUGGAAGCAGCGGAGUCAGAGCGAAAGCAACAAGCACGCAGCCUUCGGGCGAGGUGCGAUGUGUACAAGCGCAUGAAGUCACUGGGGUACGACCCGGAACCGGGCGAUCUAGGCGUGGGCAGGAUGAAGCGUUUCGUAAGAGGCGUGGAGGUCCGCUAGCGGUGUUGAUAUGCAAAUCACUCGCGUGACCUGCGUCUAGGGGUGAAAGUCCAAUCGAGCCCGGAGACAGCUGGUUCCUUCCGAAACAUGUCGCAGCAUGACCUGAUUAGAGAUAGUCGGCGGAGUAGAGCUACUGAUUGAGGGAGCCGGGUGGGAAACUGCCCGUCCCUCUGUCAAACUCCAAAGCCGCCGUCGUCAUAGAAGAUCAGAGUCCGGGCUAGGGGGUAAGCUUCUAGUCCGUGAGGGAGACAACCCAGACCAUGGUUAAGGUCCCAAAGUGUCGGCUAAGUGUUAACACUAAAGGGCGUUUCAAGCCCUAGACAGCUGGAAGGUGAGCUUAGAAGCAGCUACCCUUUAAAAAGUGCGUAACAGCUUACCAGUCGAGGUUUGGAGCCCCGAAAAUGGACGGGGCUCAAGCCGACCACCGAUACCAUUUUGGAGCAUCGUAAGAUGAUCUGGUAGGAAGGCGUUCUGUGUGGGCAGAAGUUUCUCCGUGAGGAGGAGUGGACCGCAUAGAAACGAAAAUCCUGGCAAUAGUAGCAGCAUAGUCGGGUGGGAAUCCCGACCGCCGGAAGGGCUAGGUUUCCUCGGCAAUGUUCGUCAGCCGAGGGUUAGUCGGUCCUAAGGUGUGUCCUAAUUGGAGCACAUCAAAUGGGAAACAGGUUAAUAUUCCUGUACCAACCAACUGCAUCGCGUUAAGCGAUCCGACACCUCAGGGUAGAUCAGGCAGCGCCAUCGCGCUGUUCAAGCGUCGAAACUCAUGGAGAGCCGUAAUGGCGAGAAGUGGGUGAAUGCGUAAUGACGAAAGUUGAUUAAUCCCCGGGGUCCGUGAAAAGGAAGUUGGAUGGCCGUACCGAGAUCUGACACAGGUGCCCCUGGUUGAAAAGACCAAGGCGUGUCGGCAUAAUCUGGCUAAGGUAAUUCGGCAAAUUAGCUCCGUAACUUCGGGAGAAGGAGUGCCUGCUUUGUAGAAAGCAGGUCGCAGUGACGAGGGGGCUCUAACUGUUUAAUAAAAACAUAGGCGAUCGCUAACCCGUAAGGGCAAGUACGAUCGCUGAAUCCUGCCCAGUGCGGGUAUCUGAACCUUGGGUUCAACCAAGCGAAGGACCCGUAAACGGCGGGGGUAACUAUGACCCUCUUAAGGUAGCGUAGUACCUUGCCGCUUAAUUGGCGGCUUGCAUGAAUGGAACAAUGAGAGCCCUACUGUCCCUAGCCAGAAACCGGCGAACUUUACAUCCCAGUGCAGAGUCUGGGGACCCCUAAUGGGAAGUGAAGACCCCGUGGAGCUUUACUGCAGCCUGUCGUUGAGUUGUGGCUUUAGAUGUACAGCGUAGGUAGGAGGCAUCGAUCCGUUCUCGUCAGGGAACGGGGAGUCGACAAUGGGACACUACCCUUCUGAAACUACGACUCUUACUUCCUUGGAAGGACACCGAUAGGUGGGCAGUUUGGCUGGGGCGGCACGCCCUUGAAAAGAUAUCAAGGGCGCCCUAAGGUUGGCUCAAGCGGGUCAGAAAUCCGCUGAAGAGCGCAAGAGCAUAAGCCAGCCUGACGUGAUUUCGCAUAGCAAGAAAUCACGAGACGAAAGUCGGGUCUAGCGAACCAAUAAGCCUCCUUGGUGGGGGCUAUUGAUGACAGAAAAGCUACCCCGGGGAUAACAGAGUCGUCACCGGCAAGAGCACAUAUCGACCCGGUGGCUUGCUACCUCGAUGUCGGUUCUCUCCAUCCUGGCCGUGCAGCAGCGGCCAAGGGUGAGGUUGUUCGCCUAUUAAAGGAGAUCGUGAGCUGGGUUUAGACCGUCGUGAGACAGGUCGGUUACUAUCUGUUAGGGGUGUAUUGAGGUCUGAGGGGAAGUUGCCUUUAGUACGAGAGGAACAGGGCAACGGUGCCUCUAGUCUAUCGGUUGUCCGACAGGGCAUUGCCGAGCAGCCACGCACUGGUGGAUAAGUGCUGAAUGCAUCUAAGCACGAAACCAUUCCUAAAAAGAGACCUCUUGAGGACACUCUUAGAAGAAGAGAUUGAUAGAGUCGGGAUGUAAGCGCCAAGGCAACG